rnacentral:rRNA from 1 species
UACAGAGGGGGCAAGCGUUGUUCGGAAUUACUGGGCGAAAGGGCGCGUAGGCGCCUUCUAAGUCGAACGUGAAAUCCCCGGGCUCAACCCGGGAACUGCGUCCGAUACUGGAAGGCUUGAAUCCGGGAGAGGGAUGUGGAAUUCCAGGUGUAGCGGUGAAAUGCGUAGAUAUCUGGAGGAACACCGGUGGCGAAGGCGACAUCCUGGACCGGUAUUGACGCUGAGGCGCGAAAGCCAGGGGAGCAAAGCGGG